rnacentral:tRNA from 1 species
GGGGAAGUGGCGGAACGGUAGACGCGCUGGCUUCAGGAGCCAGUGUCCGGAAGGGUGUGGGGGUUCGAAUCCCCCCUUCCCCACCA